UACGUAGGGGCAAGCGUUGUCCGGAUUUAUUGGGCGUAAAGAGCGUGUAGGCGGUUUGGUAGGUCCGUUGUGAAAACUCGAGGCUCAACCUCGAGACGCCGAUGGAACCAUCAGACUAGAGUCCGGAAGAGGAGAGUGGAAUUCCGUGGUGUAGCGGUGAAAUGCGCAGAUAUCAGGAAGAACACCCGUGGCUAAGGCGGCUCUCUAGUACGGUACUGACGCUGAGACGCGAAAGCGUGGGGAGCAAACAGG
rnacentral:rRNA from 1 species